rnacentral:rRNA from 1 species
UGCGCAGGCGGAACUUUAAGUCAGUGGUGAAAUCUUGCCGCUUAACGGUAAAAUUGCCAUUGAUACUGAAGUUCUUGAAUAUGGUUGAGGUAGGCGGAAUGUGUUGUGUAGCGGUGAAAUGCAUAGAUAUGACACAGAACACCGAUUGCGAAGGCAGCUUACUAAACCAUUAUUGACGCUGAGGCACGAAAGCGUGGGGAGCGAACAGGAUUAGAUACCCUGGUAGUC